rnacentral:rRNA from 1 species
UACAGAGGGUGCAAGCGUUAAUCGGAAUUACUGGGCGUAAAGCGUGCGUAGACGGUUACAUAAGUCGGGUGUGAAAGCCCCGGGCUCAACCUGGGAACUGCAUUUGAGACUGCUCUGCUCGGGUGCGGAAGAGGGAAGCGGAAUUUCCGGUGUAGCGGUGAAAUGCGUAGAUAUCGGAAGGAACACCAGUGGCGAAAGCGGCUUCCUGGUCCGACACCGACGUUCAGGCACGAAAGCGUGGGGAGCAAACAGG